GGAGGAGAUAAUUUCUCUUUCCCUUUCCAAACUAUCAGUCAUAUAAUUUGGAAGAGGAACUACUGGGAAGUUCCAUCAAGAGAGAAUGCAACCAGUGGGGAGUCUGGACAAAUUCCAGACAGACAGGAUUCUUAGGAAACAAAAUCUUCAAAGACUGUGAUCCCUGGUAGCAGAGAAGAGAGUCAGUUAUGAAGAUGAACAGAUCCUGGGAAUCCACCUGACUACCUGACCCUUCAGAGACACUGCAUGUAAGGGAAACUUCAUGUGGAUUUUCUGAAGAGAGAAAGAGUUUGCUCAUGUAGUACUAUUGGUUUCAUUCUUGUUGCUUGGUGAUCACAAUUAUGAUAACAGACUAAAGGAUCAUAUUUGAAAAUACAUCUUUCUUAUCCAUAACCAUGAAGUCCAGUGGCAAGACAAGAAUAAGAAUGACUGGUGAUGGUCCAGGAUGCAGCGGAUCACCUUGGAAUCUUCAACGUUUGACCAAGCUCUAAAUGUUCCACAUCAUCUGCUUUAACCACCUUCAUGGUUAUAGGAACAAAUUGUUCUUACCUAUCCAUUUCACUGGGGGAAGUUUUCAUGUGCUUGAAAUAGCUGAUGGAUUUGAGACCUAUUGGUGACCCUCAAGCUGGUUUAGGCCAUCUGUGCAGACAGUAUUACUGGAAUGGGGCCACUGGACAUGCUGUAGCAUGCUUCUUGCUGCACAGCUUCUUGGAGCCACAGAUGGGAGUUGGGUAUCAAGCAAACACCAAAAAUGGACGAGCAGCCCUUCUUUUGUGCACUGUGUCUCUUCAUGUACUUUAGGGAAGCAUAGUGGACAGAACAAGGAAGGUUUCUCUGCUCUGGUUAGAACACAUUUAGAAUACUGAGUUGAGGUUGAUGCCAUAUUUUAUGAAGGAUAUUGGUAAGCUCGAGAUUGUACAGAGCAGGGUGACCAAGAUUGGUUGAAUAACAAACACACACAAACCCUCCAAACUAUACCAUGUAUAAAGAGGAUGUAUAACCUGGGGAUUGCAAAAUGUGAUGGUUGCCAUUAAUUGUUUAAAGGACUGUCCUGUUAAAGAGGGAUUAGACUUAAUCUAUUUGCCCUAGAGGACAGAGCUAAGACUAAAGGAUGGAAAUUUAGCUUGACAUAAAGAAAAACUUAACAAUUAGAGCAGAACGAAAAUGGAAGAAGCUACUUUGAAAAUUGCAAAGUUCUUAACAAAUGAAGGUCUUUAAGUAGAGGCUGAAUUGGAUGAUGUUAAACAGGAAUUUUGGAUGGGGGAUUCCUGCUCAGUUAUAGCUUGAAAUACAUUAUGUAUGAGGUUUCUUCUCUCCCUAAAAUUUGAAGGAAUUAGAAUCUUACUGUUGAGAACUAUUGAUGCUCAUGCUUGAGAUGAUCCAAGAUACAAAGUAUCUGUUUGGAAGUGAGUCCUUUGAUUAUCUGUGAAUGGGAUAAAUAUCUUAGAGGUUACUUGUAGAAAUAUUUUAUCUCCAGUUAACUUUUUGGUAUUUAAUUGGGGGAAAACUGCACAUUUUUGGCAAGUUUCACUCUAGAAGAUAAGGGUACUCACCUUGCUAUUUUCUCCAAAGGAAGGAUACUAUAUGUCACUGGAAAGGCAAUGCUAUUGUCUGCUCAUCAAUGCAUGUAUUUCAUUUUUUAUAGCCCUGAGGAAGAAUCCCUUGGGGAUUGUUGGAAAUGGUCCCUUGGCAAUAUGUAACUCCAGUAGUACUCACGUAAGGGUCCUUUAUAUGUUAUAUUUGUUUCAUACCAGCUUUUGCUUUCCCAGCCACAAUAUACCUUCCCACCCUAUGACUGGUGUUUGCUAAGGGAAUUCAAAACAAUUAAAUUACCCUCAAGAAUAUCCAAGGACCCCUUCAUCUAUUUCUCUCCCCGUGUUUGGUACUGGUUAGUUAACAGAAGUGUUUAACAUUUAUGCUUACAUAACUUGCAUAAACAGGUGUCUAUAAGAAGAAAGCUAGCUAAUAUAAUUUUGAAGAUGAAUACAUGAUUGAUAAAUUAGAGCUUGGGGUCUCAGUUACUUAAUUAUAUCAACCUAAGGUGAACAAAUUCUUUAUAUUAGGAGAUCUUUGGGCCUUUUGAAUUUGUUACUGUAUUUGUUUAAUUAUUCUCCCAUCCUUCCCUUCAUCUUUGCUGGAGUUGUCACUUAUGAUAGCGGGGAGCCACAGUGGAAAGAAUGCUGGUCCUGGAGUGAAAAAACCUGAAUCCAAUUCAGCUUCAGACACUUAACAACUGUGUGCCUUUGGACAAGUCAUUUAAUUAAGGUAUGUCUCAGUUUUCUCAUCUAUAAAGUGGACCUGGAAACAACAGGACCUUUCCCCCAGGUUUUAAGGAUCAAGUAACAUAAUAUUUGUAAGA